UAGGGAAUCUUCCGCAAUGGACGCAAGUCUGACGGAGCAACGCCGCGUGAGUGAAGAAGGAUUUCGGUUCGUAAAACUCUGUUGUUAGAGAAGAACAGCGCAUAGAGUAACUGUUAUGCGUGUGACGGUAUCUAACCAGAAAGCCACGGCUAACUACGUGCCAGCAGCCGCGGUAAUACGUAGGUGGCAAGCGUUGUCCGGAUUUAUUGGGCGUAAAGCGAGCGCAGGCGGUCAAUUAAGUCUGAUGUGAAAGCCCCCGGCUCAACCGGGGAGGGUCAUUGGAAACUGGUUGACUUGAGUGCAGAAGAGGAGAGUGGAAUUCCAUGUGUAGCGGUGAAAUGCGUAGAUAUAUAGAGGAACACCAGUGGCGAAGGCGACUCUCUGGUCUGUAACGGACGCUGAGGCUCGAAAGCGUGGGUAGCAAACAGG
rnacentral:rRNA from 1 species